rnacentral:rRNA from 1 species
GGUAGCCGACCUGAGAGGGUGACCGGCCACACUGGGACUGAGACACGGCCCAGACUCCUACGGGAGGCAGCAGUGGGGAAUAUUGCACAAUGGGCGGAAGCCUGAUGCAGCGACGCCGCGUGAGGGAUGAAGGCCUUCGGGUUGUAAACCUCUUUCAGCAGGGACGAAGCGUGAGUGACGGUACCUGCAGAAGAAGCACCGGCUAACUACGUGCCAGCAGCCGCGGUAAUACGUAGGGUGCGAGCGUUGUCCGGAAUUACUGGGCGUAAAGAGUUCGUAGGCGGUUUGUCGCGUCGUUUGUGAAAACCCGGGGCUCAACUUCGGGCUUGCAGGCGAUACGGGCAGACUUGAGUGUUUCAGGGGAGA